AUCAAGGCAUCGAGACCAGGGCGUACCGCAAAAUUUCUCCAAAGUUUACGUCGUACGCUCACAAGGAUGCGUUGCUACUUAGCAGCAUUAUGUGCCGCACUUGCUGCACUAGCAGUCGCCAAAGCUGCUGUAGCAGCUGCCGACGCACCUCGCGAACAAACAAAGGAUGAAUCUGACAUUGAACUAACGGAAGAGGGUAAACGAGCAUGGGCUAGUUUACACGGAGGUGGUGGGUGGGGCAAACGGGGAUGGCAGGACAUGAGCUCGGCUUGGGGAAAACGGGGCUGGCAGGAUCUAAACUCCGCUUGGGGAAAACGGGGCUGGCAGGACCUUAAUUCAGCUUGGGGGAAGCGAGGAUGGCAGGAUCUUAAUUCCGCUUGGGGGAAACGAGGAUGGCAAGACUUGAACACGGCAUGGGGCAAACGCGCUUGGAGGGACCUUUCACAAACUCCAUGGGGAAAGAGAGGCUGGCAAGAUCUGAACUCCGCUUGGGGCAAACGUGGCUGGCAGGACAUGAGCUCCGCUUGGGGCAAGCGUGCACCAGAAAAAUGGUCGAAUUUCCACGGCUCGUGGGGCAAACGCAGCGGCCCUGAGCCUGAUUACGAAGACUAUGAAGUCGUCUACGAACAUCUCAUGCCCUCACAGCUAGACGGAGAUAUGAUCGAAAGUCCAGAGAAGAAAGCAUGGUCUUCCUUACACGGAGCCUGGGGUAAGAGACCAGUCAAGCAGGGGCAGUAUAACAGCGAUAUGACCCAACAGGAUCGUAUUACUGGAAGCGAGAACCAGGCUGGACCAAUUUAAGAGGAAUGUGGGGCAAGAGGUCACCGCAGAACGACCUGAUUGAGGAGAACGAUGGCGCCACGGAUGAGGCCUAGACUACUGGCUACUGUUAACGACAAUCUCUCAUAUCCAAAUUAAACUGUCACCAUUUUAAUUUUCGUCUUCACACAGUGAAGUCAUUGUACUUUGGCGGUAUUAGUUCCUAAUUUGUUUCUGUAUAGGCUAGCUGAAUUAUUUGAAACAACUGACGAGCAAUGUCUCUGGAAAUUAUGGCUUUCUGAAUAGCGUACAAAUGUAGCUCUUAUAAUGUCACCUUCUAGAUUAGAAUAAGUCUUAUUCCAAAUCCAUAUCUACAACGCUAAAACAAACGAUUUUGAUUACGCGCUUUUUUUUUAAAUUAAAAGAUUAAUUCAAACAUAUGAAGGCCGCAGAUUAAGUUGCAGAUACGACUUUUCGAAUAAGACUUUGAAUUAUUAAAUGUUAUUUUUACUAUCUGUAUAUGUAGCUUUAAGUUGACGCUGUAACUGUUCAUGUACGGCUAUCUAAAUAAGUAAUUACUAUAUAUGUAUGGGCUAAUUGUAUUUUAGUAAAGUUGAUGUACUUUAAGGGCUUCGUUCUAUGUUAACGUUUGUCCAAUAAAAGUUUAUUCCAAGAC